rnacentral:rRNA from 1 species
UUGAACGCUGGCGGCAGGCCUAACACAUGCAAGUCGAACGGUAACAGGAAGCAGCUUGCUGCUUUGCUGACGAGUGGCGGACGGGUGAGUAAUGUCUGGGAAACUGCCCGAUGGAGGGGGAUAACUACUGGAAACGGUAGCUAAUACCGCAUAACGUCGCAAGACCAAAGAGGGGGACCUUAGGGCCUCUUGCCAUCGGAUGUGCCCAGAUGGGAUUAGCUAGUAGGUGGGGUAACGGCUCACCUAGGCGACGAUCCCUAGCUGGUCUGAGAGGAUGACCAGCCACACUGGAACUAAGACACGGUCCAGACUCCUACGGGAGGCAGCAGUGGGGAAUAUUGCACAAUGGGCGCAAGCCUGAUGCAGCCAUGCCGCGUGUAUGAAGAAGGCCUUCGGGUUGUAAAGUACUUUCAGCGGGGAGGAAGGGAGUAAAGUUAAUACCUUUGCUCAUUGACGUUACCCGCAGAAGAAGCACCGGCUAACUCCGUG